rnacentral:lncRNA from 11 species
GAAGCCGGACUCUACAGCGGAGGUGUGGAAAAGAAGACAACAUCGUUCUUUCCAGGCGCUCCUUCCUCGCGGCCUUAUCAGAACAUCGAAAGAAAUGUCAGCGCAGGAGGGGAAAUGUAAGCAAGGGCUGGCCUGACCCCACAAAAUAUCUCAUCCCUCCAGGCAAAGCAUGAAGGGCUUUCUUGUCUACGUCCAGCGAAAGAGGAUGUUUCGGCUCCGUAGUGAGGUCACGAAGGUGGUCCUUCCAUCUCAACCCACGUGGCUUGGAAACCAGGAAGGCCAAAGGAAGCCCCAUCCGUGUCCGUGGGUCCGCAUGCACGUGUGUGGGGACAUGAGGGAGUCCCUCG